GGCCAACGUUCUUUUCUUGAAUCCUUAUUUUCUUCUGCCAAUGAACUUUCUAAAUUUUCUGAUAACUAGGGCCAUAUCUUCAUCACCUUCCUCUUCUUCAAAUAAAACUUCAUCAUCUUCAUCAUUUGCCAUUGAUUUGAGGGCUAUUAUCUUUUUCUUUCUAUUCUCCGUAUCAUUAUGCUGCUUCACAGUUAGCUCGUACAUCAUCAAC
rnacentral:lncRNA from 1 species